rnacentral:lncRNA from 1 species
GGCACUUAUAACAAAGGACAAAGAUGGCUAUAUAGAUGGAUCCAUACCCAUUCCAGCCGAUGAACGAUUGGCCCGACACUGGAAGAAAUGCAACUAGUUAGUCCAGACUUGGAUCGGCAAUUGCCUCACACCGGAGGUCGCCACUGGACUCCCUCCAACCGAGGAUGCUCACUAGUUUUGGAAAAGCAUACAAGAAAAGUACGACAAGCUCAGUAGGGCUAGAAUUUUCUCAAUAACCCAAGCCCUAGCAGAGCUAAAACAAGGAAAUCUAUCUAUUUUGGCCAUUUUCAAUAAACUCUCGACAUUGUGGAACGAAUUAGAAGAAGCGGAAGAGAACCUUCAAGGGUCAGAAGAAACUCUAGCUCAAUACCAAGCAAUUAGAGAAAGAGAAAAAGUGACACGUUUUUUGUUGAUCCUAAAUGAAACUUACCUGCUGUUUUGCAGCCAAAUCCUUGCCACGGAGCCAGUUCCUUCGCUUGGCCGAAUCUACCAGCUUGCUCUAUAGGAGGAAUCAUAGCGGGUGGCUUUGACGGAGUACCUCAAGGUUGGAGAUCGGGUUGUUCUCGCGGCCAAAGCGACGCCCGACUAGCAUCUACUUGCAGCAAGGUUCGGCCAUGGAGUCUUCAGGGGGUCUAGCAACGCAACGGCUGCG